rnacentral:rRNA from 1 species
UACGAAGGGGGCUAGCGUUGCUCGGAAUCACUGGGCGUAAAGCGCACGUAGGCGGCUUUCUAAGUCAGGGGUGAAAUCCUGGAGCUCAACUCCAGAACUGCCUUUGAUACUGGAGAGCUUGAGUCCGGGAGAGGUGAGUGGAACUCCGAGUGUAGAGGUGAAAUUCGUAGAUAUUCGGAAGAACACCAGUGGCGAAGGCGGCUCACUGGGCCCGGUACUGACGCUGAGGUGCGAAAGCGUGGGGAGCAAACAGG